UCCUACGGGGGGCAGCAGUGGGGAAUAUUGGGCAAUGGGCGCAAGCCUGACCCAGCAACGCCGCGUGAAGGAAGAAGGCUUUCGGGUUGUAAACUUCUUUUAAGAGGGAAGAGCAGAAGACGGUACCUCUUGAAUAAGCCACGGCUAACUACGUGCCAGCAGCCGCGGUAAUACGUAGGUGGCGAGCGUUAUCCGGAAUGAUUGGGCGUAAAGGGUGCGCAGGCGGUCCUGCAAGUCUGGAGUGAAACGCAUGAGCUCAACUCAUGCAUGGCUUUGGAAACUGGAGGACUGGAGAGCAGGAGAGG
rnacentral:rRNA from 1 species